GUGUUAAUACUUUUCGGGCCCGAUUUCAGACCCGAUCUUGGGGCCCAACUUCGGACCCGUUACUAUUAUUAACUAAGAGGUUGCCACCUCUCAUGUAUUGUCAGAAAACGUCGUAAAUUGUGGUUAAAAAAAAGGGAGGUUGCAGCCUCAUUUUUUUAUUUGAAAGGACAUAAGGAGGGGGUUUGAAGAAAGAGUUUUUUCCCAAUAAAGUGACCCCCAUAAUCUCCUAAAAAACACAGUCCAAAAAAAGAAGAAAUUUAUUACGGCACAAUACAUUAAGACUAAACACUAAAAAACAUUUGUCGUCAUUCGCUUCGUCGUCACUCACAAGAGGGCCGCCACCUGAAAUACGACAAAAACAAGAAGAUUCGAUUUACAAGUGAUCAUUCAAACAUUCCUAUUCAAAAGCAUUCACGCAACAUUCAGACAUACAUCUUAUUGCACUUAUACUCUCUUAAAAACCAUCUUCGGUUCUAAUAUUCAUUAUGACUAAUCGAAUAAACGUUUCAUGGUGGUAAAUAGGCUAGCAAACCCUUAAAAUAAGAUUCAAAACUCAACUGAAGUUGCUGAAAUUUCUUUUAACAUUAGCAAAAAAACAACUUUUUUUUAUAAAACCUCAUUUGAACAUUUAGAUUAUUACCACAACCCCGAUAACGAAACAUGGCUAACGAAAUAGAAAUCAGCUAAAAAAUACUAACCCUUUUUUUUACCAAGUUGUUUCCUCUCUAUCCGUUGCUGCCGUUGAUUUCUGCUUCUAACCAAAAAAUAAAAACAAUAAACCCAAUAGGACUCACAAAAUCAGAAAAAAGAGACCUCAAACUUAGAUUUACGGAACAGGACAUGCAUGUCACCGAAGGACUCGCCGGAGCCUCCCCCGAUGACAUGCAAGUCUGUUGAAAUCAGAAAAGCAGAAAAGAGGAUUGAGAGAUCUUUUACCUUUUCUUUCUUUUCAUGAUGGUGACCGGGAGAGGAGAGGUGAGACAUAGGCAAUGACGGCGCCCGUCGUCGCUGAAAAUUAAAAAGGCGGAGGGGAAGAGGCGGCUGAGAAAAAAAAGUAAAAAGGAAGGAGAAUAGUCGUGGCGGCGGCGGUAGAGAGGAAGAAGGAGAGAAGAGAUGAGGAAAGUUAGAGAGAAGGCAUAGAGAAUAGAGAGAGAGGAGAGAGAGAGUGUGUGGCUGCAAAAU
rnacentral:lncRNA from 1 species